rnacentral:sRNA from 1 species
GCGGAGCAGGUUUGGUCGGGGGUCCGGUGCUGGGGCGGGGGCCAGGACUCCAGGCCGCGCCUGACGCUCUCUUUUCUUUUCUUGCAUCUGCCCGCGAUCUUCUCCUAGACCUUUCUGCGAGUACGAGCCAACCGGCAGACCCGACUGAAUGCUCGGAUUGGGAAAAUGAAACGGAGGAAGCAAGAUGAAGGGCAGGUAUGUCCCCUGUGCAACCGCCCCCUGGCAGGAUCGGAGCAGGAGAUGAGUAGGCAUGUGGAGCAUUGCCUUUCUAAGAGGGAAGGCUCCUGCAUGGCUGAGGAUGAUGCUGUGGACAUCGAGCAUGAGAACAACAACCGCUUUGAGGAGUAUGAGUGGUGUGGACAGAAGCGGAUACGGGCCACCACUCUCCUGGAAGGUGGCUUCCGAGGCUCUGGCUUCAUCAUGUGCAGCGGCAAAGAGAACCCGGACAGUGAUGCUGACUUGGAUGUGGAUGGGGAUGACACUCUGGAGUAUGGGAAGCCACAAUACACGGAGGCUGAUGUCAUCCCCUGCACAGGCGAGGAGCCUGGUGAAGCCAAGGAGAGAGAGGCACUCCGGGGCGCAGUCCUAAA